ACAAUCAAAGUGUUGGAGGUUACUCUCUGAUCACCAUUCAUCAACCCUGACUAACGACGACUAUUCCAGUAGAUGAUAUCCCCGAAAACUUGUUCCCUGAUUGUAACGUAAGAGAAUAUAAUACUCUUCCGUGCACCUUUAACUCUGAACAGUAUGUUCCAUUUCACCUAUGUUCCAUUUCACCUCUCCGCUUAGUAUGGUACAGUUGCGAGGGUUGACAGAUUUUGGCGAGCAACCGCUUUGCUCACGUCCUGCACUCGCCGGUUGAUGCUCAGACCAUCCCAACUCGCAUCACUUCACUCCCCUACUUGGGCAAGGACGCAAGAUGUUGACAGCUGUUGAUUUUCUCCGGGCUAACGACCGGGUUGAUGAUUCCGAUCUAUGUGGUGAUUGUCGUCUGUAGGAGCUGGAGGGGAUAGUACGUGAGGUUGCCGCAACGAGGAAAUUGCCAACCGGCGAUUUAGAGUGAAGCUGUGAGGCAGAUGUAGAGAUGAUAAGAGCUUUGAAUCGAGACAUUUAAAUUUUGUUGCCUUCGAUUUGUGUCAUAGUUGGUGACGACUGUAGCUGAGUUGCAAUGCGAGGGUACUACUCCGUAUUCACAGGGUGUGGAUUAGCAUUAAUCUUGCAAGUUUUUAAACACUGGUGAAGUAUUGUUGGGUCUGGUGCCGAUUGCUACUGAAGUUGUUCAGGUUAAGCUUGGGUCUUCUAAGAGGUGCACUUAAAGGAUGUGGAGUUAGUGAGCGUUGUGGUGAGAGAUAUAGAUUGGAUGGCCAACGCAUUAAGUUCGUGCUUCAUUGUGUGCACAAACAAAAUGAUGUCAAUAGACAUUUGACGUGAUUGGAAUUAUACUACUUGAGGGAGUGAGGUGACUCAAUUCCAUCGACCACAACUGGGUUGUUGAUCCUCAUCAACGAGGUGGUUGCCAUCCGCGGAAAAGCUGGAGCUUGGUAACAAAUUUGUUGAUGGCCAUUUGACUCUACUUCCCAUUAUUGCAGUCGCUGCUAAUGUCAUCGUCGUAUUAGAAGGCGAGUUGCCAGUAGGCAAAAAUGAGUAGGCUGAAAAGAUCCAUAGUGGUGGAGUGGAGCAGUUAGAGGUUCUUGUAGCCAAGUUCUGGUUACAGUUAGGAAGGCAAAAUCACAACCAUGCGACCACACAAAAACUGCUGAGGUAAUAUUGUUAAGAAUUCUAGUAGACAGAACAAUAUUUGGAUGAAUUUUUUGGAUGAAGUUAGCUUAGGAUUUGGGUGAAUUUAAGAUGUGGAUGAAAUCUUAUUCAGAGAUAAAAUCUCAUUUAAGGAUGAAAUUUUAUUGAUGGAUGAAAAAUAAAUAUAAAAUAUAAAAUUUCCUCAA